GUCCACCAUAGUCCAGUGGUAAACUGACCGUAACCGUUCAAAUGUCGGAAGCGGGAGGUCGAGGGUUCGAUUCCCUCUGGUGACA